UCAGGCUCCUAUCGAAGCCGUUCAUGCCUCCUAGUAGCAGUGAACGGUCAAAAAGAAGCCAAGAUCAACACUUCUACCGACGGUCGCUGCUCAGUUUGGUAGUAACUGCUGCAGCAACAUUGAGGAGGAGGACAGUU
ensembl:snoRNA